GUCUUUUUGAUAAUAAUUUAAAGUCUAAUCUGCCCCCUGAUUGAAUUAUUAAAGGGCUGCAGUAUAUUGACUGUACAAAGGUAGCAUAAUCAUUAGUCUUUUAAUUGGAGACUUGGAUGAAGGAUUUGAUGAGAUAUAAACUGUCUUUUUUUUAAAUUUAGAAAUUAAUUUUUUAGUUAAAAAGCUAAAAUUUAUUUAAAAGACGAGAAGACCCUAUAGAGUUUUAUUAAAUGAUUAAUUAUUAAAAUUAUAUAAAUUUUUAAUUAAAAAUUAAUUUUUUAAUUUUGUUGGGGUGAUAGAAAAAUUUAAUAAACUUUUUUUAUUUAAUUCCAUUAAUUUAUGAAUUUUUGAUCCAUAAUUUAUGAUUAUAAGAAAAAAUUACCUUAGGGAUAACAGCGUAAUUUUUUUUUUUAGUUCAAAUAAAAAGAAGAGUUUGCGACCUCGAUGUUGGAUUAAGAUAAAAUUUAAAUGCAGAAGUUUAAUAUUUUGAUCUGUUCGAUCAUUAAAAUCUUACA
rnacentral:rRNA from 1 species